rnacentral:misc_RNA from 1 species
GAUGAAGAACGCAGCGAAAUGCGAUAAGUAAUGCGAAUUGCAGAAUUUCCGUGAGUCAUCGAAUCUUUGAACGCACAUUGCGCCCACUGGUAUUCCGGUGGGCAUGCCUGUUCGAGCGUCAUUAUCCUCCCUCAAACCCCGGGUUUGGUGUUGGACCCAAGUUGUGUGAACAACUGGUCUCAAAGACAAUGACGGCGUCCGUGGGACCCUCGGUGCAACGAGCUUUUAGGAGCACGCAUCGAGUUGCAAGGACCUUCCGGGCCGGUCUCCUUUACCAUUUUACAAGGUUGACCUCGGAUCAGGUAGGAAUACCCGCUGAACUUAAGCAUAUCAAUAAGCGGAGGA